rnacentral:rRNA from 1 species
UACAGAGGGUGCGAGCGUUAAUCGGAAUUACUGGGCGUAAAGGGCGCGUAGGUGGUUGGAAAAGUUGACUGUGAAAGGCGAGGGCUUAACCCUUGGAAGUCAGUCAAAACUGUCUAACUUGAGUAGGAGAGAGGUGAGUGGAAUUUCCGGUGUAGCAGUGAAAUGCGUAGAUAUCGGAAAGAACAUCAGUGGCGAAGGCGGCUCACUGGCUCCAUACUGACGCUGAGGCGCGAAAGCGUGGGGAGCAAACAGG